rnacentral:rRNA from 1 species
GGGGUGCUCGAGUGGCGAACGGGUGAGUAACACGUGAGUAACCUGCCCUUGACUUUGGGAUAACUUCAGGAAACUGGGGCUAAUACCGGAUAGGAGCUCCUGCUGCAUGGUGGGGGUUGGAAAGUUUCGGCGGUUGGGGAUGGACUCGCGGCUUAUCAGCUUGUUGGUGGGGUAGUGGCUUACCAAGGCUUUGACGGGUAGCCGGCCUGAGAGGGUGACCGGCCACAUUGGGACUGAGAAACGGUCCAA